rnacentral:sRNA from 1 species
AUAAUUAUCACGGUGCCAUGUUAAAUAUAAUAUAAAAGUUGGUACUUUUUACUCUUGGGCUGAACGUUUAUAAUUGCCAAUCCCUGACAAAUGUUAAAAGACCACGAAUGAGGGAAUAUUUUUUGGCUAAAUUCCAUUACAGGGGAAUAUUCCUCUGUUAAAAGUUCCGGAUACUUCGGCCUCGCAAGAAUUUAAAAUUUGUAUUUACAUUUACAAAUUAAACAAAAGUCCUAUACCUCCUUUAAAAUAAUAAUUGUACUAAUGUUAUAAAAACCCUACCUCGCCUUUUAAUAGAAGGUAAAAUUUACAAAUUGCCCAGAAAUUCUAUUUUAUAAAAGUUAAAUUAGUUAAAUUUUCCGUUUUACACCCAUUUUAUUAGAAAAAGAAGGUUAAAUACGCCCUGCGAAUUUCUAAUUACAAAGUCUUUUGAAAAAUAUAAUAAUUAUUAUUUUUAAUAUAGUUAUUUAUAUUAUUUUAGACCGCGGAUUAAAUUAAUAAAUACCGCGGAGUUAUUUGUAAAAGAUAUUUAAUUAUUCCAGGUAAAUAUUCCCGUUCGGGAGCCGCGUAUUAAAAAAACGUCGGCUAUUAUUCUUAUUUUAAUAAAAACCCCGGAAAAUAUUAUUUAUUAUAUUCCGGUAAAUUAAAUCAUUAUAUUUGUAAUUAUCCCUUUUAAUAUUACGUGCAAAUUUACUAUAUUGGGUUAAUAUAUUAUAACUAACUUUUCCAAUUUUUAAAAAGUAAAACGUCCUAUAAAAAUAUUAUUUUAAUGAUAUAUUAUAAAAAUAAAAUUAAUAAAAUGAGCAUUUUAUAUAAUUUAAAUUUUUGAAAAUUUAUUACGAGUAUAAAAAUUUACGUUUAUUAUAUUUAUUUUAAUAAAUAUAUAUAUUAAAAUUAUAAGUAGUUAAAUUAUAUUAUAAAUAUAUUAUAACGUUUAAUAAUUGGAAAUAAUUAAAUAUUUAAUAAAUAUAAAUAUUAAAGGGGUUAUUAUUAAGUUUUUUAUAAAUCGAUCGAUUAGUAAAACGCUAUUAUAAAUAAAAGGUAAUUUCAAAAUUUAAAUUAAAAUCCCCCUUGUAAUAAUUUAAGCACAAUUUGUCGAUUUUCGUCGUAUAUAAAAAUAAAAUCGCGAUUUUCAAAAUUUUAAUCCUUUAUAAUAAAAUAGAUAAAAAUCGUAAAAAUAUACGGAUUAUAUUUUAAAUAUAUUAUUAGCCGUAAUAAUUAAUAAUAAUUAAAUUCAUAUUUUUAAUAUGCAAAUUAGCCGAGCUUAUAUUAUAUAAUAUUAAUAUCAAAACUUAUAAUUUAUAUUUUAUAUUUAUAAUAUUCCAAACGUAUAAAAACUUUUAAAUUUUAUUUAAGAAAAUAAUAAGAAAAUAAAAUCGAAAGAAUAUAGGAUUUUAACAAAACCCAACUUUAAUAUAAAAAUAAAAGAAAACCUAUAUUUAAUAUAUUAAAAAACCGAAAAAAUAAAAUAAAUAAAAAUAACCCAAAACUUAUUAUAAAAACGGGUUUAUAUUUUAACCUAUUUUUAUAAUGCGCGGACCAAAAUUUAAAAAAUCCAAUAUUAAUAAAUAAACAAAUAUUUACGUGUAACUUAAUUUGCGAAAUACCAAAAAUCAAAUAUUUUAUUAUAAAAAUAAUAAUAUUAGUAAUUAUUAUU